rnacentral:rRNA from 1 species
UGGGUGGCGAGUGGCGGACGGGUGAGGAAUACAUCGGGAUCUACCCGGUUGUGGGGGAUAACGUAGGGAAACUUACGCUAAUACCGCAUACGACCUGAGGGUGAAAGCGGCGGACCGCAAGGCGUCGCGCGAUCGGAUGAACCGAUGUCGGAUUAGCUAGUUGGUGAGGUAAAGGCCCACCAAGGCUACGAUCCGUAGCUGGUCUGAGAGGAUGAUCAGCCACACUGGAACUGAGACACGGUCCAGACUCC